AGUCGAACGGUGGUAGCAAUACCAUAGUGGCGCACGGGUGCGUAACACGUAACUAACCUACCUAUAACUGGGGGAUAGCCCGCCGAAAGGCGGAUUAAUACCGCAUAAGCUGUGAGGAUGGCAUCAUCCUUUUAGUAAAGAUUUAUUGGUUAUAGAUGGGGUUGCGGGUCAUUAGCUAGUUGGUAAGGUAACGGCUUACCAAGGCGACGAUGACUAGGGGAGCUGAGAGGCUGGUCCCCCACACGGGCACUGAGAUACGGGCCCGACUCCUACGGGAGGCAGCAGUAGGGAAUAUUGGGCAAUGGACGAGAGUCUGACCCAGCCAUGCCGCGUGCAGGAAGAAGGCUUUCUGAGUCGUAAACUGCUUUUGACAGGGAAGAAUAAGCGCUACGUGUAGCGUGAUGACGGUACCUGCAGAAUAAGCACCGGCUAACUCCGUGCCAGCAGCCGCGGUAAUACGGAGGGUGCGAGCGUUGUCCGGAUUUAUUGGGUUUAAAGGGUGCGUAGGCGGCUUUUUAAGUCUGGGGUGAAAGCCCGCUGCUCAACAGCGGAACUGCCCUGGAUACUGGAGAGCUUGAGUACAGACGAGGUUGGCGGAAUGGACUGAGUAGCGGUGAAAUGCAUAGAUACAGUCCAGAACCCCGAUUGCGAAGGCAGCUGACUAGGCUGUUACUGACGCUGAGGCACGAAAGCGUGGGGAGCGAACAGGAUUAGAUACCCUGGUAGUCCACGCCGUAAACGAUGGAUACUCGCUGCGAGCUAAAGAUUGUUCGUGGCUUAGGGAAACCGAUAAGUAUCCCACCUGGGGAGUACGCUCGCAAGAGUGAAACUCAAAGGAAUUGAC
rnacentral:rRNA from 1 species